GAACAUGAGAGUUUGAUCCUGGCUCAGGAUGAACGCUGGCGGCGUGCUUAACACAUGCAAGUCGAACGAAGCUGCUUAACAGAUUUCCUUCGGGAUUGAUGUUUUGUAGACUGAGUGGCGGACGGGUGAGUAACGCGUGGGUAACCUGCCCUGUACAGGGGGAUAACAAUCAGAAAUGACUGCUAAUA
rnacentral:rRNA from 1 species